rnacentral:rRNA from 1 species
AGCGAACGCUGGCGGCGUGCCUAACACAUGCAAGUCGAACGUGAAAGGGAGCAAUCCUGAGUAAAGUGGCGUACGGGUGAGUAACGCGUAGGUAAUCUACCCCAAAGUCUGGAAUAACCUGCCGAAAGGCGGGCUAAUGCUGGAUAGAGCGAUGGAAUCCGUAAUUGGGUUUUUCGGGAAAGGGAGCUCGCAAGAGCCUUCGUUUUGGGAUGAGCCUGCGUCUCAUUAGCUAGUUGGUGGGGUAAUGGCCCACCAAGGCUUUGAUGGGUAGCUGGUCUGAGAGGAUGAUCAGCCACACUGGAACUGAAACACGGUCCAGACUCCUACGGGAGGCAGCAGUGGGGAAUCUUGCGCAAUGGACGAAAGUCUGACGCAGCCACGCCGCGUGAGUGAAGAAGGCCUUCGGGUUGUAAAGCUCUGUCGCCCGGGACGAAAAUUUAUUAGGUGAAUAGCCUAGUGAACUGACGGUACCGGGAGAGGAAGCACCGGCUAACUCCGUGCCAGCCGCCGCUGUAAUAC